GUCAUUUGCUAAUUUUAAUUUCAAUUUUAGUUUUUUUUAAUUAGUUUUUAGUAGUAAUUCAUGGUCAAAGAGAAGAAUAUUUGAAGAAAUUGAGAUAACAAGAAGUUUGAAGACCAAAGUUCAAAAGGAAGAAAAAAUUGGAAGUUUUGAAGCAUUUGAGGCUUGCAGCCACUGUAUUUUUCGCAGAGCUACAUGAUUUCAAUCGCAGCGCGAUUUGCCACUGCAUAUAUUCAAAACGCGUGCUACAGUGUGUAUAGUGUUGCGUUCAGCUUUUUGUUUUUUUUUCUUUGAUGACGUGUCACCAUUGGAUAGGCAAGCUAGUCCUUAUUUUUUAGUGGCCACGUGACUCAUUGGUUGCUGCAUCU
rnacentral:lncRNA from 1 species